GGCUCAGGAUGAACGCUAGCGGCAGGCCUAAUACAUGCAAGUCGAGGGGUAGAGGGAGCUUGCUUCCUUGAGACCGGCGCACGGGUGCGUAACGCGUAUGCAACCUACCUUUAUYUGGGGGAUAGCCCGAAGAAAUUCGGAUUAACACCGCAUAAAAUCACAGUAUCGCAUGGUACAAUGAUCAAAUAUUUAUAGGAUAAAGAUGGGCAUGCGUGUCAUUAGUUAGUUGGCGGGGUAACGGCCCACCAAGACCACGAUGACUAGGGGAUCUGAGAGGAUGACCCCCCACACUGGUACUGAGACACGGACCAGACUCCUACGGGAGGCAGCAGUAAGGAAUAUUGGUCAAUGGAGGCAACUCUGAACCAGCCAUGCCGCGUGCAGGAAGACGGCCCUCUGGGUUGUAAACUGCUUUUAUUCGGGAAUAAACCUACUUACGUGUAAGUAG
rnacentral:rRNA from 1 species